AACAGCGUCGAUAGCACGUUGAAUGCACCAGUUCGCCAUGGUUCACUGAAGGUAAGCAACGUUGCACGUGGUUAGUACCCGGAUGGGUGACCAUGGGGGCAAUCGCGUGCUGCUGGGU
rfam:Asian citrus Psyllid, Diaphorina citri - Florida Strain, whole genome shotgun sequence.